rnacentral:rRNA from 1 species
GACGAACGCUGGCGGCGUGCUUAACACAUGCAAGUCGAACGGAAAGGCCCUGCUUUUGUGGGGUGCUCGAGUGGCGAACGGGUGAGUAACACGUGAGUAACCUGCCCUUGACUUUGGGAUAACUUCAGGAAACUGGGGCUAAUACCGGAUAGGAGCUCCUGCUGCAUGGUGGGGGUUGGAAAGUUUCGGCUGUUGGGGAUGGACGCGCGGCUUAUCAGCUUGUUGGUGGGGUAGUUGCUUACCAAGGCUUUGACGGGUAGCCGGCCUGGGAGGGUGACCGGCCACAUUGGGACUGAGAUACGGCCCAGACUCCUACGGGAGGCAGCAGUGGGGAAUAUUGCACAAUGGGCGGAAGCCUGAUGCAGCAGCGCCGCGUGCGGGAUGACGGCCUUCUGGUUGUAAACCGCUUUCGCCUGUGACGAAGCGUGAGUGACGGUAAUGGGUAAAGAAGCACCGGCUAACUACGUG